GGGGGAUAACUAUUGGAAACGAUAGCUAAUACCGCAUAACAGUAGAUGUUGCAUGACAUUUGCUUAAAAGGUGCAAUUGCAUCACUACCAGAUGGACCUGCGUUGUAUUAGCUAGUUGGUGGGGUAACGGCUCACCAAGGCGACGAUACAUAGCCGACCUGAGAGGGUGAUCGGCCACACUGGGACUGAGACACGGCCCAGACUCCUACGGGAGGCAGCAGUAGGGAAUCUUCGGCAAUGGACGGAAGUCUGACCGAGCAACGCCGCGUGAGUGAAGAAGGUUUUCGGAUCGUAAAGCUCUGUUGUAAGAGAAGAACGAGUGUGAGAGUGGAAAGUUCACACUGUGACGGUAUCUUACCAGAAAGGGACGGCUAACUACGUGCCAGCAGCCGCGGUAAUACGUAGGUCCCGAGCGUUGUCCGGAUUUAUUGGGCGUAAAGCGAGCGCAGGCGGUUAGAUAAGUCUGAAGUUAAAGGCUGUGGCUUAACCAUAGUACGCUUUGGAAACUGUUUAACUUGAGUGCAAGAGGGGAGAGUGGAAUUCCAUGUGUAGCGGUGAAAUGCGUAGAUAUAUGGAGGAACACCGGUGGCGAAAGCGGCUCUCUGGCUUGU
rnacentral:rRNA from 1 species